UAAGUAUAUGGGAUUUUGCUGGACACGACAUAUAUUACUCAACCCAUCAGGUGUUUCUGACGUGGCGAGCUAUUUAUGUGAUUGUCUUUGAUCUCAGUAGAAGUUUGGAUUCUGUCGUUCCCCAUGUAUCCAGAGACAAGAAUUAUGAAAUGGUUAAAGGAGGUGCCAAAUCAGAACUGACAUGUCUAGAGUUCAUCAAUUUCUGGUUGUAUUCCAUCUACGCCCAUGCUGUGGCGCCGUCUUCAGUCA